AGGACGAACGCUGGCGGCGUGCUUAACACAUGCAAGUCGAGCGGAAAGGCCCUUCGGGGUACUCGAGCGGCGAACGGGUGAGUAACACGUGAGUAAUCUGCCCCUAGCUCUGGGAUAGCUCCGGGAAACCGGGAUUAAUACCGGAUAUGACCACUUUAGACAUCUGCUGUGGUGGAAAGAAUUUCGGCUAGGGAUGAGCUCGCGGCCUAUCAGCUUGUUGGUGGGUAACGCCACCAAGGCGACGACGGGUA
rnacentral:rRNA from 1 species